CAGACAAGCUUAGCUACUGGACCGGCUCCGCCCAGUGCCCCUGACCCUUGCGGGAGAUGGCAGAUGUGAUUCGCCAGGCCACACAGCCCUCUAUGGCACUUACACACUGCUUGAGACAGUUGCCAAUAGGAUCAUCCACUUUGAAUUGGUCAAGUCAACAGAAGUCUCAAGCAGCAAUGCCAUGGAGGUACAUGGUCUAAAGAACUGCCUUGCCUACCUUGAAGCACAUGACAUGGUUGUGGACACCAUAGUGACUGACCGCCACACUGCAAUAAAGUCCGUGUUAAGGGAAUUGUGUCCACACAUCAAACACCGUUUUGACGUGUGGCACGUUGCGAAAGGGAUCAAGAAAAAGCUUGUGUCUCUCAGCCGCUCCACAAAGCACCAAGUUGUGAAGUUCUGGAUAGAGAGCCUUAUCCGACACAUAUACUGGUGUCCAAAGUACAGUGGGGAAAGUGGUGACGAAGACGUCUGGCGAAGUGGGUAUCGGCAGUGAACCACAUUGUCGAUGUCCAUGAGCAUGACAACCCACUGUACCCAGUUUGUUAUCAUGGCCCAGUUUCAGAACCACGAGAAUGGCUCAAAGAAGAUAGUGAGACGUACGCAAAGGUCAAGGACAUCUUGACAGCACCCGCACUGCUCAGGGAUGUCCCUAUGCUUUCUACAAAACAACAGACAUAUGGCCUGGAGUCAUACCACAGUGUCCUGAACCACUUCGUUCCGAAAUCCUAUUCAUUGUGGUGGCCAGGUAUUAAACCUUCAUAAAAUCAUGUCACAC